GUUGGCAGGAUAAACACGGGCGCUCGGAUGCGGUGGUAGUGGUGUCGCACUCGAAUGGCGGUUGGCUGACGAGAGACUGACGAUUUGACGGGCCUUAGAUUUUUGGCAAUGGUUGUUUGAGAUGGAACUGCGCGAUAUGAAACAGUUCCUUACAGUUGAUUUUUCAAGUUAACAGGGUGGAGGUGCUAUGGUGCGUUAGAAGCAUUUUUAACACAAUAGUAAGGAUAUUAGCGUUUAAUUAAUAUGAUUCAAAUAUGGAUAUUUUUUAAAAAGCUUGCUGCAGCUAUAAGGAAGUAAGAACAUAAAUUUUAAACAUAUAACAUUAAUGCACAGCGAUCAGUUGUUGUUUUUAUCAUAAAAUUUGUUUAAAAAUUUGGACCGGUAAAGAUUCUACCAAGUUUUCUGGCUAUGAAAUAAGAACUAUACGAGAAAAAAAUAUUUUCAAAACAUGAUGUAAAAGAACUGCACAAGCUAAUGCCUUUGUGUCUCGCGUAGAGAGCGAUCCAUUGUCAAAAGUCUUCAAACUAAUGUCUUUGUUCACUUGGCACAGUAGAACCAUGUGUACAAAGGAGCGUAAUUCUUACCAAAAAACGAUAUCCCGUACCGUUCGUCCUCGAGCAUGCUCAAGCGACGAAAAUUAUUGAUUUUAAUUCCGUAAAUUAAAUUCUCCUGAUUCCACCAUUAUCAUUCAAAGCACAUCUCUGCCACGACUCAGCCCUUCUGCUGGUGAAGAAAUAAAGCAUGAACGUUGCGCAUCGUCAAUGAACAUUGGAAGGGUAGAAAGGAUUCGUUUGGUAUUUACAUAAAAGUAUCAUAUCUGUACUUGAGUGGAAGUGAUGUACUACUUGCUCACAGUUUCGGCCAUUUACCCCGAUCCAACCGAGCCUGUGGUGCGGGAUGGUAAAGCGAGCAUGUCAUUUCCCAUUUCUGGGCGUCAUUCCGAUGUCGGGACGACAAGAUGCGAAAUCGAGCUGAACUUAAUCUGGGUGGCGUCUUUGUUUGUAGGAAAAUUAGCCAUAAUAUAUUAAGAUAAGUUCUCUCCUAUCCUUAUCGCAUCCAACGAGACAAACGUGUAGACAAUAAAAUUAGAACCAAAAAUUUAAGCAAUUAAAUUUUACGAUCCUUUGUCUAUGCCAUCCCCGAGACUUAAUGGUCCGCCGUACUUUGCUCCCAACAGCGCUCGGCGAGUAACCCACAUUGGCUGCGUAUUAUUUAAGGUUCGAAAGUUAAAAUAAAAUGAUAAGCUAUUAUUUUGAGCAUGCCAAAUCAAACAGGUUCUUUGCCUUUAGCCUUUUAUCAUCAUUUUUAUGACACGUCCGCUAGCAACAGUUUUAAACCGUUCACACUCUCAAAGGUGCGCGAUCGAUUGAUGACCUACGAAAAAUGCUACUUAAAGACGUAUCGGAUCAAUAAAGAAAAUUUAUGGUAUAGGCACCAGUUGACACCGGUGACGCUUGGUGUGAGAAAACAAAAGUUGGCACUUUUCAAAAUCACAAAGCCAGAUGAAUAAAUUAGAGUUCCAGCCGGGUGUUCCGAAAGGUGUUUUUUUGAUGGAAAAGCCGUAAAACCCGCAUUCUCUUGCCCAUCUUACGUACGCUCCCAGCCGCUUUUCAUUACAAAAGUUUCGAUAGAAUUUUAUUCCUGUUGGUGGCGUUGCUUGAGCGCUUCAAGUCACCACACGAGUGUAUCGGUUUUGGAAGCGAUUUUAAUGGAUGGAUCCGCCGUUCGGCGUAUUAGGAACCUAUUAUCGAACGCCCGAACGUGGAGAAGGAUGCGCCAACCUGUCCUGUCGCUGAAAAUGGGAUUGUCACAUUACCGGACGACCACCAGAUAACGACCGUCGAAUGGAAUGAAACCUUUAUGAGUGCGCGAUUGGACGUCCCCGAUGACGGGUCCCCCGAUCGUUGAUGAAAAAGCGGAAGCGACACACACCGCGCAUGGAUGUGGCACAGGAACGCGAGGCAACCAAGGCAGAACGACACAGUUCCCCUUGCUUGUCUGGAUGGCUGGAUUGAUCCAUUUUAGGUGAACUGGUCCUGCCGGGAAGAAACCGCUAACGACGACGACGGCGAACCAUCGGUACACAGGCGAAGACCGGUCACCGACGGUGACUGGCGGUGGAGAAUUGGUGGUACAUUCAUAACAAUUUAUGACAGUGAGUUAUGGCAUCGGGAUUCCUGAGCUUGAUAUUUUAGUGUUAUUGGAUUAAAAACCAUCAAAUUGGAAUGAAGAAUCCCAUGCUCAUAUCGCUUCAGAGAGUGUGGCAAUCAUUAAAGAAAACCAACGGAUCGGGUUUUGGGGAGGUUGGGCGGGAAACGAAUUAAAAAACGCAGAUAAAUAUAAAAAUCUUAAAGGUCCCAGCGGCGGAGAAUGAUACUCACCCUCCGCUCAAUGAUCAAUCCUGCUCGAUCGCGGUUGUAUCGGCGUCCGAUCGAUCGAUACCUGCGAACGAAGCCAGAGGGCGAAGCAGAAGAAAAGUGGACGGAGCACUCGGUGUGUCUCUGUUUUCGUUCCUAAUGUUGGGAUUAAAAUCGUUGGGCAUGUUUGACUAAUUUCCGAUCAGGUUACGCAGUUUCAUUAUGAAAAACAAGAUCCCAAUUUUGGUUUAUGAAGCUUUAGUGAUCUCUGUUAUCUCAACGCGCAUCUUGGUGUUCACGUGAAGCUUUCUCAAGCUCGUUUGGUUUGGGGAUGUUUCUGUGUUGUUUUACUUGAAUUCUAUUGCUUGUCGGUGAGCCUAAGAAAUUAUAUGGUUUUGGUGGUUAUUUUCAAUCCACCUCACAUUUCCAGAUUUGCAGAAUAAGGAAUGACUUUUCGGCGCUCUUUUUCGGGAUUAUUAAAUUUAGCAAUAGAAUUAGAAUAUCUCUUCCGUGACAGAGGAUUAUAAAUUAUCAGCAACUCAAAGACUUCUUCUCAGGAAGUCCAAUAAUUUUAUUUAAUAUAAAUGAUAAUAUAAAUUUUAAAUAUACAAUUCGCUUGGUCUAAAAUAUUUAAAAAAAUUGAAUGUUUUCAAUGAGCGAGUGGAAUUAUUUUAACUAAUAAAAUAAAUCCGUUUACUGUUGUCCAUUGCGGCGUACAGUGUGUUUGAUUGGAAUGUGUGUACUCUAAUUGGUGCGUCGAGCGUGGAAAAAAGAAACCAAAUAUCGUACCGCAACACACUUAUUCCGGCCGAGCAUAUCCGUCCCAAUAUGCUCGAACGCCAUGCUUUGAUUUAUGAUUUUCUAUAAUAGUUGGGCAAGCGCUCUAGUGCUCUUCAAUCAGAACGCCGCAACGUCGGUCGGUUCUUUCUUCCCGGCCACAACGAGUGGGUGAGCUGUGUUUCCAUUGGGAAGGGAUAAAUCUUUCCCUAACUCUAAUGCACAUUCAUAGCGGUAGCCCUUUUGGAAAGUUGAAACCCGCAUCCAGCGGAGGUUUCACGACGCUUAGCCUCCCACGAAAAACGACGAUCCGCUUUGAUCGUCAUGCUCGCGCAAGGGACAGUGCGUCCAACCGAUCGACUAACCCUCAUCGACAGACCCAUCUCCGACCCGUCAUCGAUAGUCGUCAUAGCUGUUGAUCGUUUCCAGCAAAACGGUAGACAGCGGCCACAUAAAGCAAAAAGGGGGCCGCCUUAACCUCGUCGCGUCAGUUCCCGGUCGCUGGUCCCAGUGUCGGAGUGUGUGUCGGUUUAGUUUGCUGCUGAUCGGGGUGUUUGCUCUUCCCGCGCUCAAUCUCUCGUGGCCCUUUCCCUUUUUGCCAGCCUUUCCCGUCUUGCUGUUUUGUUUCGUUGCAUAUAAAUCAUUCAUUAAGAAAAUGAAAUGGAAUGAAUAGAUUGAGUUAAGUAUAAAUCUUCAUAAUUUAUGGUUUUUCUUUCAUUGUGUUAUUGAUAUUUUGUCCUCUUCUUUCCCAUUUCGACUCUCACCACGUGUGCGUUUGAGAUUUGUUUCGCUGUCUGCCGCUUCGGUUAAGAUUUUUCUUUAAAAGAUGCUGAAAAACACUCAAAGUCGUGUCAAAAACCUAUAUGCGCAGGGAAGCGGUACUGGAGAGUGGCAGCAGCAGCAGAAUUGCAAAAUGUUGCUGACAGAGUGGCACACGUUUUACGACACUAUUGAUAAUGCGAAUGUUUGUAUCCCGUGCAGAUUUCGAAGCGAUAAAGCAAAACACGAAGGAAGGCGUUAGGUACAGGUGGCACGAUUGUGAAGCGCUAACGUUUUGGCCGCUCGGAGGCGAUUUGAUUGGUGGAUGAAUAGUUUUAAAUAUGGAUUUAGCUGCUUAAUUUAUGCGUUUUACAUAAAGAUGAGCCUCAAUAUACAAAUCAAAUGAAUGGUGAAUAAUCAUUGAAAGGUACAAUAAAUGGUAUUGUUUUAAUUAUUGGUUGGUUUUUACGAGAAAAAAACCGAGGUUAGGUUUGAAAUUUUAUAUAUUCAAGUUUUUAAAUAAAUAAAGGAAAACAACAUUUCAACCAUUUUGCGGAUCCCAGGAUCAGUAAUUCACUCAAACGUCUCAUGGUUUACGAAACAUGUCGUAAAUUAUGUUUCAAGCAAUCUUAUCCCAUCGUGUCUUACUUUUGUGUCUUACUUUUAACCAAAACGAAAAAAAAAAACCUUUGCCAUGUUUUUGCCUCGUUAUGCAAAUAUCGAUUUCCUGCUGAUCAAUGGUGAUUAAUUGAGCACCCAUAUUUCUAUU